GUCUCUGAUGGGUAUGAAGGUUUUGUCUCUCCCUAGGAAGAUACUGCAGUGUUCAGGAGGUCCUGUCUAAGGAUGUCACAGUUUAUGGAAGCAGACCUGAGGCAUGCAAAGUGGCAAGAAUCAAACCCAUCUGCAAUAGAUAUUUAAUUCCUUAGACUCCUGUGGAAAAUCCAGCAGACAGCUGGAUAGACAGAUCCUCUUCUAAGGCUUCACCUGUUCUAACUAAAGCAGCCAGCUCCUGACAUUUGGAUAAUGGCUCAGCUGAAGCUCACACAUGCAGCAGGGUCAGCUGGAUAGCCAGGCAUCCCACAGCAUCCACUUCAGUCCAGAGUUGGCAUUUGAAGACAAGGAGUGAGAACAGCACAACUGCAAGCCUUCAAUACACCUUCCUGCCUGUAAGUCUCCUUGUAGACUCCAGAGUUCACAUUUCUGUCAUCAUGGCUAUCAGGGAGAAUAAGGUCUGCUGGAUUAAUUUUUGGAGUUUUGCACUUCAGGGCUUCUAGCCAGUGCUGCGUUCACAGCUGAGAAAUGCAGUGGUUUGCAGUGACCAAAGAAAGCUUUUAUCCUUGAAGGGACUGAUGUAUGCAAAUGCCACUGGAAAAACAGGAGACACGAGCACUGAAGGCAACCAGGAGGUUUUUAAGAAGCAGGUGGAGAUGAAAACAAGAAAAUGACUGAAAUGGAAAUC